ensembl:lncRNA
AACACAACUGGGUUGACUUGACUGAUAUAAAGACACGUAAUCCUUGAAACAGAGCUUGACGCGCGCAGUACAGAAUUAUCUGAGAAAUGUNNNNNNNNNNNNNNNNNNNNNNNNNNNNNNNNNNNNNNNNNNNNNNNNNNNNNNNNNNNNNNNNNNNNNNNNNNNNNNNNNNNNNNNNNNNNNNNNNNNNUGACGUCUAUUUGCGAAAAUGUGCUUUGAAGCACUUGUUUGAAAACUUGUGAUUAAAGCGCCACUCAGCGGUCAAAAGCUGCAAAUGCACUUUGCAGACGCCGCGGCGGCGGUACGAGCGGCGGUAGAAGUGACGUUUUGGAUGUCUACCUACUGUAGUACUAGUUUUUGAUUAAGUAUUGAUAAUUGUGAAACUUCCCUGAUAUUUAAAAUUGCUAAUUUCAUGAAAGACUUUAUUCAUAACGAAAACCAAUAACUAUGCUAAAUAAUCAUGAUUUCAGUAUUGACAAAAAUAAUUGUUUAUAUUUUUGCCAUAAUUGAGCAGCUAGCAACUAAUUUCCUAGUUUAUCUGUAAAAUAUUUAUUCUUCUGCUUCAUCUUAUCACAGAGGAAGGAGUGGAUGAACAAAGUUUUAUGCUACUGGAUGACACCAGCAUUGCUGCACUAAUACCAAGAAUUGGUCUCAGGGUUACAUUCAAGAAGUUUAAUUCAGAGUUUUUGGGAACGAAGACAAUGGCUCUGUUGGAUCGACUUGGCCACUCAGAUCAGCCUGAUGUCAAGACCCUUAACAACCACUUUGAGAGAGCAGCUGAACCAUUGAUGAACCUGGAUUCUAACUUAAAACAGAUUAAAUAUUAUUCUGAUACAGGAUUUUUCAUUAAGCCAGAGACUCAACAGUUUCCAGGAAUUUCAUAUGUCCAACGUCUGGAAGCAUCUACUGGAUGUGUGAAGCAGAUAGCAGUCCAGGACACCUUUCAGUAUGUACCAUUGAAACCUGUUCUUAAAAAAAUCCUAGAAAGUCCAGGUACCAUGGAAAAAAUCCUUGCGCACAAGCAAAAUGAAGAAGGAGCCCUCAUCGAUUACAUUGACGGUGAACUCUACAAAAGCAGCCACCUGUUUUCUGAAGAAUUUUCCAUUCCACUCGUCCUGUACAAUGAUGAUUGUGAAACUGUAAAUCCUAUAGGCUCCAAGACUACAAUUCACAAACUGGGCUUAAUUUACUUUCAGAUCAGAUGUUUACCACCUGAGCUGUUGUCUUCCUUGUCAGCAUGCUUUCUGUUGGCCGUGUACUUGAAGUCAGAUGACGUCAAGACAUAUGGCAUGGACAUGGUUCUUCAAUGCAUUGUUAAUGAUUUGAAGGAUUUAGAACAAAAUGGAUUACAAGUUGAGACAGAACAAUUUCGUGGCACUGUAAAGGUUGGUGUUGCUCAAGUGUGUGGAGACAAUCUUGCCCUAAACUCUCUUCUUGGUUUCUCAGAAAGUUUUGCAGCAAAUAGUGUCUGUCGUUUAUGCAAAAUUAACAAACCCAGUCUUCAUAACCAGACAGCAGAGGAUCCAGAUUUGCUGUGCAAUGCAGUGAAUUACAACCAGGAUUUACAGACCAAUAAUCCUGCAGAAACUGGCCUUAAACGAAGAUGUGUCCUAGAUGAGCUUGCAUUCUUCAGUGUUGUUCAGAAUGUCACUGUGACGGUGGGGUGAAGGAAGGACUGGAAACAAUAGUGAGUUAGACGAUUUAAUGAAAAUAAAUAAACAAACAGGAAAAAGACAAUGAUGCUGGGAAGACAACAAUCCAAGAUGGUGGUGAGGUGGUGAGGAAUCCAGAUGAUGACGGUGAGAAGGCAGCAGGAGAGGAUGGCACAGGAACUGCGGGGAAUAGAGCCAAAGGUAAGUAUUUGUGGCUGAGUGGAAGUGCGUAGAGUGGAUGAGGUUCCGGGAAAACACGAACAUCCAAACGCAGACAACACUGAAGCCAAACAAACAGAGUAAGUGACCUUAAACAACGAUCUCACAAACACAAGACGUGAGACAAGCCAAUAUAUAGGGAAUGAGUAAUGAGUGACAGCUGCUGCUGAUGACAAUUAACGGAGACACCCACAAACUAAUCAGUGCAGACGCGAA